rnacentral:rRNA from 1 species
CUCCUGUGAUUAGUGGCGAACGGGUGAGUAACACGUGAGUAACCUGCCCCUGACUCUGGGAUAAGCGUUGGAAACGACGUCUAAUACUGGAUAUGAUCACUGGCCGCAUGGUCUGGUGGUGGAAAGAUUUUUUGGUUGGGGAUGGACUCGCGGCCUAUCAGCUUGUUGGUGAGGUAAUGGCUCACCAAGGCGACGACGGGUAGCCGGCCUGAGAGGGUGACCGGCCACACUGGGACUGAGACACGGCCCAGACUCCUACGGGAGGCAGCAGUGGGGAAUAUUGCACAAUGGGCGAAAGCCUGAUGCAGCAACGCCGCGUGAGGGAUGACGGCCUUCGGGUUGUAAACCUCUUUUAGUAGGGAAGAAGCGAAAGUGACGGUACCUGCAGAAAAAGCACCGGCUAACUACGUGCCAGCAGCCGCGGUAAUACGUAGGGUGCAAGCGUUGUCCGGAAUUAUUGGGCGUAAAGAGCUCGUAGGCGGUUUGUCGCGUCUGCUGUGAAAUCCCGAGGCUCAACCUCGGGCUUGCAGUGGGUACGGGCAGACUAGAGUGCGGUAGGGGAGAUUGGAAUUCCUGGUGUAGCGGUGGAAUGCGCAGAUAUCAGGAGGAACACCGAUGGCGAAGGCAGAUCUCUGGGCCGUAACUGACGCUGAGGAGCGAAAGCGUGGGGAGCGAACAGGAUUAGAUACCCUGGUAGUCCACGCCGUAAACGUUGGGCGCUAGAUGUA